rnacentral:miRNA from 1 species
CAGGAAAACGAGUGUGUUUUUCUGGCACUAUAGUGGUCCUUUAAAGGGAAGCUAUAGUGCCAGGAAAACAAACUUGUUUUCCUGGCACUUU